rnacentral:rRNA from 1 species
GCCUUCUGGACAGUACUGACGUGAGAUGCGAAAGCGUGGGAGCAAACAGGAUAGAUACCUGGUAGUCCACGCUGUAAACGAUGUCGAUUUGGAGUUUGUUGCCUAGAGUGAUGGGCUCCGAAGCUAACGCGAUAAAUCGACCGCCUGGGGAGUACGGCCGCAAGGUUAAAACUCAAAUGAAUUGACGGGGGCCCGCACAAGCGGCGGAGCAUGUGGUUUAAUUCGAUGCAACGCGAAGAACCUUACCUGGUCUUGACAUCCAUAGAAUUCUGCAGAGAUGUGGGAGUGCCUUCGGGAACUAUGAGACAGGUGCUGCAUGGCUGUCGUCAGCUCGUGUUGUGAAAUGUUGGGUUAAGUCCCGCAACGAGCGCAACCCUUAUUCUUUGUUGCCAGCGAUUUGGUCGGGAACUCAAAGGAGACUGCCGUUGAUAAAGCGGAGGAAGGUGGGGACGACGUCAAGUCAUCAUGGCCCUUACGACCAGGGCUACACACGUGCUACAAUGGCGUAUACAAAGGGAAGCGAAGGUGCGAGCUGGAGCGGAUCUCAUAAAGUACGUCUAAGUUCGGAUUGGAGUCUGCAACUCGACUCCAUGAAGUCGGAAUCGCUAGUAAUCGUAGAUCAGAAUGCUACGGUGAAUACGUUCCCGGGCCUUGUACACACCGCCCGUCACACCAUGGGAGUGGGUUGCACCAGAAGUAGAUAGCUUAACCGCGAGGGGGGCGCUUACCACGGUGUGAUUCAUGACUGGGGUGAAGUCGUAACAAGGUAACCA